ensembl:ncRNA F31E8.10 ncRNA
AUAGAAUGUGCGGGAACUUCAAAGUGACAGGAAGUGGGACGCCCUUCUUCUUCUCUUCUUUUUUACUCUGGUCAUAACCAAGAGAGCUGUUGGUGACCGACACAUUGUGAAUUAUGACUCACAUAGAGAACAAGGGGUAAAUACUAAUAGUAAGAGUUGGCCAUAUAGAUACAUCCAUCCUACUGUAGCAAUUUUCUGGAAUAAA